rnacentral:rRNA from 1 species
ACGGAGCAACGCGCGUGAGUAUGAAGUCUUCGGAUCGUAAAACUCUGUUAUUAGGGAAGAACAUAUGUGUAAGUAACUGUGCACAUCUUGACGGUACCUAAUCAGAAAGCCACGGCUAACUACGUGCCAGCAGCCGCGUAAUACGUAGGUGGCAAGCGUUAUCCGGAAUUAUUGGGCGUAAAGCGCGCGUAGGCGGUUUUUAAGUCUGAUGUGAAAGCCCACGGCUCAACCGUGGAGGGUCAUUGGAAACUGGAAAACUUGAGUGCAGAAGAGGAAAGUGGAAUUCCAUGUGUAGCGGUGAAAUGCGCAGAGAUAUGGAGGAACACCAGUGGCGAAGGCGACUUUCUGGUCUGUAACUGACGCUGAUGUGCGAAAGCGUGGGGAUCAAACAGGAUUAGAUACCCUGGUAGUCCACGCCGUAAACGAUGAGUGCUAAGUGUUAGGGGGUUUCCGCCCCUUAGUGCUGCAGCUAACGCAUUAAGCACUCCGCCUGGGGAGUACGACCGCAAGGUUGAAACUCAAAGGAAUUGACGG